ensembl:snoRNA
AAUCAAGUUAAAAAAAGCAAUACACUGCUCAUAGCCAUGGGAUCUCCAACUGCAUGCCAGAGUAACGGAGAGACUUUGACAGCCCAGGUUAUCACAGUGCCUGCUGUUGCCACUCAGAUCUCCUAUAUGU